UACCUGAACAGGAGCAACUUGGAGGAGGAAGGGUUUAUUUGGGCUCAUGGUUUCAAAAGUCUCCGUCCAUGGUCAGUUUGCACCAUUGAUCUGGGACCCAAAUGAGGACGAACAUCAUGGCAGGAGGGUAUGGUGGGGGAAAGCUGAUCAGCUCUUGGCAACAGGGAAGUAGGAUAGAGGAGGAAGAGGCCAAGGACAAAUACAGUCCUCAAGGGCAAACCCAUGAUGACCUACUUCCUCCAUUCAUGCCCCAUGGCCUAUACUCUUCACCACCUCCCUGUGGUCCAUUCAAAUUAGGAAGCCAUCUAAUAGAUUAACCCACUGGUGAAGUCAGAACCCUCAUGAACAUUCACCUCUGAACAUGAUGGCAUUGCCUUAAUCAUGGGCUUUCCAGAUUUAAAAAAAAAAAAAACAAAAAACAGAUUCUGUUAUUGAAUCUCUUUUAGUAUAAUUUUGUUUAAUUGAGUUUCAUGGUGUAAGCUGUUGCAUGACUUUGUAUUGUCCAAAUGUCUAGGGUCUCAGAAGAAACCCAGACUCAUACAGGGCAGGACAUGAGGGAGGUUAUCAGGGGCAGGGUUAUAGCAGGGCAUUGAGUCCUAUGAAGUUAACACAGGAUGGAUGUGUUCACCGCAGAGCGGUACAUAUCUGAGAUGAGAAAGAGCAACUUCGCUUGAAUUUGAUCUGGCUUUGUGCGCCCAUUUGUUGGUGGAUUCAGCACACUGAGGUUGUAGGUCUUGUUUUGUUCUUGUCAUUCUGGUGAUUAAAACCAGGGCUUUGUGCAAGUAGCUUAGCAAUCUAACACUGACUGACACUCCUAACCUCAGGCAGCAGGUUGUCAAAUUUUAAGCCUUAGCUUCUUUUUGAAGCACAAUAGACAAAUUUAAGGCAUCUAAAUAAGAUUUAUUUAUUUAAAGGAUUUUUCCUGGAACAAAAUGAUGCUUGUUUACAAGCAUACACUUAUGGUGUUUCUCUAUGAUGAAGUGUUUUCUGACAAAUGCAACCUGAGGUGAUUUUGUCCAUAUGAAAACAUCAGAGUAUGUACCUACAUAAAGUAAGAGAGCUACAACAUCACUGGGUGAUCUAAUCUGAUGGGACCAACAACUUAAAACUGAUCUUCAUUGAGUGAAAUGUGAUGUCGUCUAUGACUGUAACUGGGACCACAGAGGUAAAACUUUGUCAGCAGUUCAGCGUUUCUUUAUGGGUUUGCACCACUCAUUCUCCCAUGAACAACCAGAUCCUUUUAGUUCUUGGUUCCUGCACAUCUAUUUAUUCUUGAGUAUAAAACUAAGGUUUGAGGAGAAAGACUGGCUCCUGGAAGUCUCCCAUGGUGGACUUCCAGGAAGGGCCAGUUUGACUCUUGCUAGCCAGUUGGCUCUCUGGGGACCUGAUAGGUGAGAAUCAUGUGACUGAAAUGAAGAGGAAGAAGCCCUUUCCAGACUGAGGGGUAUACUGGUGGCCAGGCUGGGAUGUCCCUGCUUCAGAUGGUCAGAGAGAAUAUCAUGGCAGAAAUGUGUGGAAGAGGAAGACAGCGCAGGACAUGGUGAUCAAGAAGGAGAGACUGCUUCGUGCUGCAGGGUCAAAGACACACCCCCAAUGACCCGCCUCCUCCAGCUGCACCCCCCUGUCCACCGCCCCCACUCAUUUUAAGGAUCUUUCGGUGUGCAAACUGCAGCCUAUUAUGAAAACAUCUGUUGUGGUGUCAGUGACUGUGGGGCAUGUCCUUACGUUCACUGGGAUGUCUCUUCACAUUCAGAAAACGAGUGAUGUGCACACGUGUCUUCAGAGCUUUGUGUCACCUUGGGUAACAUUUCAGAGGUUGGUGAUCAGAAUUCUCAGAGUUAAAAGCACAGGGAUCCACCUUAUGUAUAUGGUCUUCAUUUGUUAAUUGUAUGUCAACAAGACUGGAAGAAAAGGUCGUCACAAAUCAUUAUAUGCACGUGAUCAACAAAGUAUGAAUAAUAAAACAAAGAGAAUCGGAGGAGAAGAAGUAGAAGCCCUGCAGCCUCAGUGGAGCCGUGGGUCUGAAGUCUGCUCACCCCUUCCAUGGUUACGGGGAGCCCUGGUUGUACCAAGCAGUAAAGAAACAGGGAACUGAACUCUCCCUGAGGCCCAGGAGGACCAUGCUCCCUGGGGAUGUGAGUCUUCACACCCCUGCCAACCAA